rnacentral:rRNA from 1 species
AUGGAAUGCCAAAGUGAAGUGAGCAAGGCUCCUUUUUUGGCUAUUUGUGAUAUCCAGUCUGAUGCAGAAUCAGCCGUCCACACUAGGCCAACUCUGGACAUUGGGUUUACUACACCACAGAAAUCUUAUAGUGCACCUUUCUGUGGCUCAUAUUGUACUCCAGAGUGUGAUGAUGCCAUCAGACUAGCCAUAGGGAUGACUUUUGCUGAUUUGAACGCAGCCAAGGAGUUCUAUGAAGCUUAUGCACAUCAUGUUGGUUUUUCAGUACGUGUGGGGCACCAAAAGACUGUCAAUGGUGUCGUUACUCACAAGUGUUUCUGCUGUGACCGUGAAGGUUUCCGUGAAGAGCGGAAAGGUAAGGAAACUUUGGUAGCUAGCACUGGUAGUAAGAGGAGAUAUGAGAGGAAAAUCACUAGAUGUGGGUGUGAAGCUAAACUUGCGGUCAAACGCACGGUCGAGAAUAAGUACGUUGUGACACUUUUCACAAAGGAGCACACACACACACACUUGUAUCGCCCAGUAAAAAAUAAUUCAUUAGAUCAAACAGGAAAGUCAGCCAACAAGCAAAAACUACAUUAUGGAACUGUCAUAAAGCUAGCAUUGGCACAUCCCUAG